AAUGAAACUUCGGUAGAUUUUUAAGAUGGAAAGCGGCGGACGGGUGAGUAACGCGUAGGCAACCUGCCUUAUGCAGAGGGAUAGCCAUUGGAAACGAUGAUUAAAACCUCAUAACGCCGGAGAGUCACAUGGUUUUCCGGCCAAAGAUUUAUCGGCAUAAGAUGGGCCUGCGUCUGAUUAGUUAGUUGGUGGGGUAACGGCCUACCAAGGCGACGAUCAGUAGCCGACCUGAGAGGGUGAUCGGCCACAUUGGAACUGAGACACGGUCCAAACUCCUACGGGAGGCAGCAGUGGGGAAUAUUGCACAAUGGGCGAAAGCCUGAUGCAGCAACGCCGCGUGAAGGAAGAAGGCCUUCGGGUCGUAAACUUCUGUCCUAUGGGAAGAAAAAAAUGACGGUACCAUAGGAGGAAGCCCCGGCUAACUACGUGCCAGCAGCCGCGGUAAUACGUAGGGGGCGAGCGUUAUCCGGAAUUAUUGGGCGUAAAGAGUGCGUAGGUGGUAACUUAAGCGCGGGGUUUAAGGCAAUGGCUUAACCAUUGUUCGCCCUGCGAACUGGGAUACUUGAGUGCAGGAGAGGAAAGCGGAAUUC
rnacentral:rRNA from 1 species